AAUAAAUGCAAUUUUAGACCGCUCAUCUUUAACAUUUGACCAUUCGUUUUAUUUAAUUUUUUUAUUAGUAUUUUUAUUGUUAUUAGAUGAUAAAACAUUAAUAAUAUUUUAUGCAUGACUAAUUAUUUUUAACUUUUUUCAUAAUUUUAUAAAUAAGAUGGACGGUCAAACACUGGACACGAAUACCCUCGACUACACUUAUU
rfam:Oryza meridionalis cultivar OR44 (W2112) chromosome 1, whole genome shotgun sequence.